AUCUUUAAGGAGGGCAGAAAUGCAAGGAAACAAGAGGAACAAUAAACACAAACGAUCUUGGUGGAAAUAAAAAAAGACUUCAGUGAUACUGAUCAUGCUAAGGCAUUUCCACGUAUUACCAAAACAUUUGAAAACCGAGCUAGAUAAAAGUAGAUGAAUCAUGAUCACCAGAGGACUGUGAACGAUUUGAAGAAGUAAAAUUGCUGAAAGGAAAAGCUGUUUUAUAUCUAAUUGAUGAAGAACCGUAGAGGAAUCGUGGUCCCCAGUGGAUUGUGAACGAACAGAAGCAGGAAAAUCACGAGAAGCCAAAUGAGAUGGAUCACUGAUUUUACAUCUUAGUGAUGGAGGCAAACAGCUGUAAAAAAGUCUGCGGAGAUAGAAUCGAAAUCUUUCACCUAGAAGUGCAUAAAUGAUGGGGUUCAAGCAGCUGUGUACAAAUGUGACGGUUUCAGUUACCUGCUGGGCAAUCAAUAGCUGUACCAGCAAUGCACAACCAGUUAAAAUAUUCUGUUCUCUCAAAGACUCCAGUAACAUCACAACAUUGUACGGUGCCCAAAAUAUAAAAAACACUAUGACAACAGUAAAUAUAACUUUUAUAACCCUGUGUUUCUUACAGCUUUUGUUUUUGCGCAGAGUUAGAAUUAUUCUUGUGUAACAGAAAACUAUGACUGCCAAUGGAACAAAAAAACCCAACACAUUGGAUUUGAAAAA